UACAGAGGGGGCAAGCGUUGUUCGGAAUUACUGGGCGUAAAGGGCGCGUAGGCGGCCUGCUAAGUCGAACGUGAAAUCCCUGGGCUCAACCCAGGAACUGCGUCCGAUACUGGUUGGCUUGAAUCCGGGAGAGGGACGUGGAAUUCCAGGUGUAGCGGUGAAAUGCGUAGAUAUCGGGAGGAACACCUAUGGCGAAGGCAGCUCGCUGGGACGUUACUGACGCUGAGACGCGAAAGCGUGGGGAGCAAACAGG
rnacentral:rRNA from 1 species